GCGACGCCCAACACACAAAACAAGCGGUGAAUGCUUUGGGGUGGGGUGACUGCGUACCUUUUGUAUAAUGGGUCAGCGACUUAUAUUCUGUAGCAAGGUUAACCGAAUAGGGGAGCCGGAGGGAAACCGAGUCUUAAUUGGGCGUUAAGUUGCAGGGUAUAGACCCGAAACCCGGUGAUCUAGCCAUGGGCAGGUUGAAGGUUGGGUAACACUAACUGGAGGACCGAACCGACUAAUGUUGAAAAAUUAGCGGAUGACCUGUGGCUGGGGGUGAAAGGCCAAUCAAACCGGGAGAUAGCUGGUUCUCCCCGAAAGCUAUUUAGGUAGCGCCUCGUGAAUUCAUCUCCGGGGGUAGAGCACUGUUUCGGCUAGGGGGCCAUCCCGGCUUACCAACCCGAUGCAAACUGCGAAUACCGGAGAAUGUUAUCACGGGAGACACACGGCGGGUGCUAACGUCCGUCGUGAAGAGGGAAACAACCCAGACCGCCAGCUAAGGUCCCAAAGUCAUGGUUAAGUGGGAAACGAUGUGGGAAGGCCCAGACAGCCAGGAUGUUGGCUUAGAAGCAGCCAUCAUUUAAAGAAAGCGUAAUAGCUCACUGGUCGAGUCGGCCUGCGCGGAAGAUGUAACGGGGCUAAACCAUGCACCGAAGCUGCGGCAGCGAACGUAUCACCC
rnacentral:rRNA from 1 species